CCUACGGGAUGCUGCAGUAGGGAAUAUUGCCCAAUGGACGGAAGUCUGAGGCAGCAACGCCGCGUGCGCGAUGAAGGCCUUCGGGUUGUAAAGCGCUUUUCUGGGGGAAGAGGAAGGACGAUACCCCAGGAAUAAGUCUCGGCUAACUACGUGCCAGCAGCCGCGGUAAAACGUAGGAGGCAAGCGUUAUCCGGAUUUACUGGGUGUAAAGGGCGCGCAGGCGGGUCAGUAAGUCAGAGGUGAAAUCCUACAGCUCAACUGUAGAACUGCCUUUGAUACUGCUGAUCUUGAGUAUGGAAGAGAGAGACGGAAUUCCAGGUGUAGUGGUGAAAUACGUAGAUAUCUGGAAGAACACCAGUUGCGAAGGCGGUCUCUUGGUCCAAUACUGACGCUGAGGCGCGAAAGCGUGGGUAGCAAACAGGAUUAGAUACCCCGGUAGUCC
rnacentral:rRNA from 1 species